rnacentral:ncRNA from 1 species
UAGUGGGGUAGAGGCUAUAGAACUUCGUCCUGUAUGUGGGCGACCUGGGGCGAAGGAAGCCAAUGAUGCGACCGUCUACCGUUUAA